rnacentral:rRNA from 1 species
CAUCCUCCAAGGCUAAAUACUCCUGACUGACCGAUAGUGAACCAGUACCGUGAGGGAAAGGCGAAAAGAACCCCGGCGAGGGGAGUGAAAAAGAACCUGAAACCGUGUACGUACAAGCAGUGGGAGCCCCACCACUAAGCCAGUGGUGAACUCCACAUACGCAUCCUUUGCUGAGGAUACGGUUAACGGAGCGAAAGCGACGUUCAACCUCAAAAGAAGCAGAGGGGGCUUAGUGGUGGGGUGACUGCGUACCUUUUGUAUAAUGGGUCAGCGACUUAUAUUCUGUAGCAAGGUUAACCGAAUAGGGGAGCCGGAGGGAAACCGAGUCUUAACCGGGCGUUAAGUUGCAGGGUAUAGACCCGAAA